UACGUAGGGGGCAAGCGUUGUCCGGAUUUACUGGGCGUAAAGCGCGUGUAGGCGGAAACGAAAGUCCGGUGUGAAAGCCCCCCGCUCAACGGGGGAAGGUCGGCUGGAAACUGGCGUUUCUUGAGGGCGGCAGAGGGAAGUGGAAUUGCUGGUGUAGCGGUGAAAUGCGUAGAGAUCAGCAGGAACACCCGUGGCGAAGGCGGCUUCCUGGGCCGCGACCUGACGCUGAGACGCGAAAGCGUGGGGAGCAAACAGG
rnacentral:rRNA from 1 species